rfam:Schistosoma mattheei strain Denwood, Zambia genome assembly, scaffold: SMTD_scaffold0011151
AUCCAGCUGACAAGUCCCAAAUAGGACGAAACAUCCAUCCUGGAU